GCGCCGGCAGGCGUGCCUCGCACGGCCGUCUCCACUCCUCGUAGUGGGCGGCUGGCGCGGGGGCGCCGUUGGCACGAACGCCUCCCGCCAGGGGUGGCAGGCGGCUCGCGGCGAGUAGGUCGGUCACCCACCCGACCCGUCUUGAAACACGGACCAAGGAGUCUAACAUGUGCGCGAGUCAUUGGGUCUUGCUCAGGCCCAGAGGCGCAAUGAAAGUGAAGGCCGGCGGCACCGUCGGCCGAGUUGGGACUCUCC
rnacentral:rRNA from 1 species